rnacentral:rRNA from 1 species
UACGUAGGGGGCAAGCGUUGUCCGGAAUCAUUGGGCGUAAAGCGCGUGUAGGCGGUUCGGUAAGUCGGCUGUGAAAGUCCAGGGCUCAACCCUGGAAUGCCGAUGGAUACUGCCGGGCUAGAGUUCGGAAGAGGCGAGUGGAAUUCCUGGUGUAGCGGUGGAAUGCGCAGAUAUCAGGAGGAACACCUAUAGCGAAGGCAGCUCGCUGGGACGACACUGACGCUGAGACGCGAAAAGCGUGGGGAGCGAACAGG